AUGCUCCUCCGGCUGCAUGUUGCUCUUAUGGUAGCACUUCUCCAAGGGGCCCAUUCGCAGGUUCAGCUGGUGGAAUCUGGAGGAGAGGGGAAAAUGGCAGGAGAUUCUAUCAAGAUCUCGUGUAAGGCCUCCGGGUUCACCUUUGGUGACUACUGGAUGCACUGGUACCGGCAGGCUCCCGGGAAAGGACCCGAGUGGGUGUCCGGCAUUAGCUAUUGGGCCGGAACCGACAAGAGAUACGCUGAGUCUGUGAAAGGGCGAUUCACCAUCUCCAGAGACAACCCCAACAACCUGCUGUAUCUGCAAAUGACCGGCCUGAGACCCGAGGACUCGGCGGUGUAUUACUGUCAGAGAGACACACAGUGA